rnacentral:rRNA from 1 species
ACGAACGCUGGCGGCGUGCUUAGCACAUGCAAGUCGAACGGAAAGGCCCUGCUUUUGUGGGGUGCUCGAGUGGCGAACGGGUGAGUAACACGUGAGUAACCUGCCCUUGACUUUGGGAUAACUUCAGGAAACUGGGGCUAAUACCGGAUAGGAGCUCCUGCUGCAUGGUGGGGGCUGGAAAGUUUCGGCGGUUGGGGAUGGACUCGCGGCUUAUCAGCUUGUUGGUGGGGUAGUGGCUUACCAAGGCUUUGACGGGUAGCCGGCCUGAGAGGGUGACCGGCCACAUUGGGACUGAGAUACGGCCCAGACUCCUACGGGAGGCAGCAGUGGGGAAUAUUGCACAAUGGGCGGAAGCCUGAUGCAGCAACGCCGCGUGCGGGAUGACGGCCUUCGGGUUGUAAACCGCUUUCGCCUGUGACGAAGCGUGAGUGACGGUAAUGGGUAAAGAAGCACCGGCUAACUACGUG